rnacentral:rRNA from 1 species
AUUGAACGCUGGCGGCAUGCCUUACACAUGCAAGUCGAACGGUAACAGGUCUUCGGAUGCUGACGAGUGGCGAACGGGUGAGUAAUACAUCGGAACGUGCCUAGUAGUGGGGGAUAACUACUCGAAAGAGUGGCUAAUACCGCAUGAGAUCUAAGGAUGAAAGCAGGGGAUCGCAAGACCUUGUGCUACUAGAGCGGCCGAUGGCAGAUUAGGAAGUUGGUGGGAUAAAAGCUUACCAAGCCGACGAUCUGUAGCUGGUCUGAGAGGACGAUCAGCCACACUGGGACUGAGACACGGCCCAGACUCCUACGGGAGGCAGCAGUGGGGAAUUUUGGACAAUGGGCGAAAGCCUGAUCCAGCAAUGCCACGUGCAGGAUGAAGGCCUUCGGGUUGUAAACUGCUUUUGUACGGAACGAAAAGCCCCGGGUUAAUACCCUGGGGUCAUGACGGUACCGUAAGAAUAAGCACCGGCUAACUACGUGCCAGCCGCCGCGGUAA